GUGUCAGCAGCCGCGGUAAUACGUAAGGACCGAGCGUUGUCCGGAAUCAUUGGGCGUAAAGGGUACGUAGGCGGGUUUUUAAGUUAGAAGUCAAAGGCUAUAGCUCAACUAUAGUAAGCUUCUAAAACUGGGGACCUUGAGUAAUGGAAGGGAAAGUGGAAUUCCUAGUGUAGCGGUGGAAUGCGCAGAUAUUAGGAGGAAUACCGGUGGCGAAGGCGACUUUCUGGCCAUCAACUGACGCCGAGGUACGAAAGCGUGGGUAGCAAACAGGAUUAGAAACCCCUGUAGUCC
rnacentral:rRNA from 1 species